rnacentral:lncRNA from 1 species
AGAUAUCCAUCAAACUUCUUAUCACAGAUAAGAUUUUCUAGACCCUUUCUCAUAUUCAUAUUAUUCUAUUGAAACCUCUUAAUCAUAUGGUUUAGCUUUGUUUGAGUAUGUGUGACUAGUUCUCUCGUUGUCUUUAAGGGUUUUCGAAAAGGGGAUUCAUGGAUCUUAUACUAAGGUGAUUAGUUUCGGGUCUGUUCGUUUACUAUUUUCCAUCUAAAUAUAUCUUUGCUGCUUACUGCUUGAUUGACGACCUAGCUACUGCUUUUAGGAUAUAUUUAAAUCGCGUGAAGUAAUUUAGAAGAGCAAAGCGUCAUAACCAACCGAAAAUUGAGUUAUAGAGUUUUGUUUGUGAGCAUAUCAUAGUUGGAUUGCUUAUGUAUGUUUAGCUCCUACUUACCUGCAUAAAUAUUUCAUUUUACCUAAGCCAUAUUUCUUCUUAAUAAAACUUGUCGCGUAGCGUAUUAGUCUCUGUGGGAUCGAUACCUUAAAAACUACAAUCAACUUGCUAUGCACUGGCAGCUUUUUCGUUGUGUUAUUCAAGGUUUUAAACCUGACACACAUCAGAAUUCUGGUGUAAAACUGUUUAAUAAGUUAUGUCUUGUUUUAUUACAGUUUUCUCAAAUUGGAAAAAAUGGUUUUUGAAGAAUGAUGCAAAUCAAAGGAUCCAGAAUGCAAAGCCGCAUAGAGGAAGCUUUAAGAGUAAAUGCGAUGGAUGCAGAGAAAUAUGAGGAAAAGAAGAUAAUAGAGAAUUCAUUGAAAAAUCAACCUCCAUGCUUCCCUUACAAUGCUUAUGUCUUGCUUGCUUAAACAACAAAUCUCAGUGAGUUUUUAUAUAUAGUUUUGUUUAAUAGUUUAUAUUAAAUAAAGCGUAACCUCCCAC